CUGGUAGGGUUUAGGCUCUGCAGAAAGAAGUGCUAAUGCCACCGUGCCCGCAUACAAAAGGUCCAGCUGCUUUGGUGCCACUUAGGCAGUGGAUCCCUAAUCUCCUGCCUACUCCCCAGCUGUGACCCUCCGGCUAACCGGGCCAAGAACAGGAAGGGCAAGUGAGCAAACCUUGGACAGCUCCAUGGACUGUGCAUUGAGACUGGUAAGAACUUAGAGGAACCUGGAAUGAUUGCCUCCUUGGUUUCUGAGUGGCCAUCUGCUUGUAUAGGGUAAAUGUUCUCUGUGAGAAAGGGAGACCGUCUCCUUGAAAGACAACAGGAUUUUUUUAAAGAGUAACCUUUAAAAUAGUACAUGCCAUCAGUUUUUCUUACUAAAGCAAUAAAAUGCAGGAUAAAGCUUUAUGUAUUUUAAAAACAUAAAAUACUCUUUGACAUGACAAUACACAGGCUAGGAUUUCACAAGGGAACUGUGUAGAAACCAAAAGCCUCAAGCUCCCAAUCUGACAGACUCUCUCGUGGGCUCUCCCAUUAUGUCCCUGUACAGCAUCAUAGAGCAAAAACUGAUGGCUUAGAAAGAUACUGAAGAUUUCAGGCUAUCACAGAAAAGGGAAACUUAAACAGCAUCAGAGACCACUUCUAAAGUCCACUGGCUAGAUUCCAUUUCAGGAGCCCCCCUGUACUCCCGUUUCUCUAGCAGCCAGGCUGCCAGGGCCUGCUCCCUUCCAAAUCAGAAUGUUUCUUUCAUGCCUUCCCUUCCCUUCCCUUGUGAGUCCUAGGACUGACUGCCACACCCCCAGCCAUAUAGGACUAAUUUUGCAUUCAGUUACCUCUACUUGAAAAAAGUGCCCUUUUCUCCUAGAAAGGAACACUCAACAAGUUGAUUAUAAUGUAUCAGUAUAUAGAGGUUAAAAAUUCUUGUUUUGAAUAGUGUUGGGAAAUAUUUUCAACAUAUUAAGUGAAAGCAAAAGUUACAAAACAGAAUGGUACAAAUUUGGAUAUGUAUGAUUAGAAGGAAAUACACCAAACAUUAGAAAUGUUUUUGUCACCUGGUGGAAUCACAGGUCACUUAAAUAAUACUUUCCAGUAUUUUUCGCAGUUUCUACGAUGGGCAUAUGUGUCAGAAAAAUAUUUUAAUGCCAGAAAAAUAUUAUUUUCAAAAAAAUUAAUGAAACUGUUAGACCUAUAAAGACAAUGUAGGUAGUUCUGUGGUUACUGGGGAGCUCCUUAAAAUCCUGCUUCCUUGUGUUGGCAGUAAAGAAGCCAAUUACAUGUUUAGGAAUAACCCAGGUGAUUCUAAUGCAAGAAGUAUUUGUUCUAUACUUUGACAAACAUUGGAAGUAGCUGAAAGUUUGGAGUUUUUGAAUAAAAAAUCUACACCUUGA